rnacentral:rRNA from 1 species
GUCAGCUCUCUUUUGGUUCAGGCUUUGCAGUGAUCCGGUACACUGGAACCGAUACCUUACAUUGGCUGCGUUAUAAUCAGUUGAUUAGCUUAGGUUUCGCUGGUAGUCAGAUCGACGUUCUUCAGACGGGACUAAUAUGACUGAUCUAGUCAAUUGGAAGCAUGAGGCUAAUAUCAGGUCUGUGAUGCCCGUUAGAUGUUCUGGGGCACUCGCACGCUACACCGAUGCAUUCAUCGAGCCUAACGUUGUCCGAGAGACCCGGGUAAUCUUUGAACAUGCAUCGUGAUGGUGAUAGAUUAUUGCAAUUAUUUAUUUUCAGCGAGGAAUUCGUAGUAAGCACAAGUCAUCACCUUUAAUCACACUAGAGGUGCAGAGCAGACCGGAAAAGGGUCACCUGCUAGUGCCGGGAGCGGAUGGGUUCUCCAGCCACCCGGGGCGACACCUUCAAAUUUUCCGGACCUUCCGUCAGGCCCCCGGUACCGUUUCUCGGUGGGACACCUCCGAGUUACGAGCGGCGAAAGCCGUGGGCAUGGUAACAGGAAGGGUGGGAUAGGGACAAUGGGCAGCCAAGCCUUAAGGGAAGCUUGCCUUCCUAUGGGUGCAGUUCACAGAAUAGAUGUGGGUGGGUUUGGCCUAGUCGUCCGGGCUUAAGAUAUAGUCGGCCCGGUAAGAGAGGAGAGCCCAAGGGAGGAACUCUUUCUGGGAAGAGAGAGAGUGAGACACCUUGGGGGGUGGGGUAGUAGUCGAUUGUGGGCGGCAUGAUAUCACUCAGGCCUAACAUCCGGACAAUGCGGCGUUGAAUGGAUAAGUGCCCUUUGUUCACUCCCACCGUCGCUCCGCACGAUUGGGUGUGCUGGUGAAGAUAUAGGAUUGGCGACCGGGGGCGGACUCCGCUCUCGAACGCCGAAAACAUCACAGAGCCUCAGCGACCUAGAGGAAGAUGAAUUCAAUC